rnacentral:rRNA from 1 species
GUCUACGGCCAUACCACUCUGAAUGUGUCCAAUCUCAUCUGAUCUUAGACGCUAAGCAGGGUUAGGUCUGGUUAGUGCUUGGAUGGGAGACUUUUAAAGAAAUAGCAUAUUGUGAUGAACU